UACAGAGGGGGCAAGCGUUGUUCGGAAUUACUGGGCGUAAAGGGCGCGUAGGCGGCCUGCUAAGUCGAACGUGAAAUCCCUGGGCUCAACCCAGGAACUGCGUCCGAUACUGGUUGGCUUGAAUCCGGGAGAGGGACGUGGAAUUCCAGGUGUAGCGGUGAAAUGCGUAGAUAUUGGGUAGAACACCGGUGGCGAAGGCGGCCACCUGGACAGCGACUGACGCUAAGACGCGAAAGCGUGGGGAGCGAACAGG
rnacentral:rRNA from 1 species